UACGAAGGGUGCAAGCGUUAUCCGGAAUCACUGGGCGUAAAGCGUGCGUAGGUGGUUUGUUAAGUGUAUUGCGAAAUCCUGUGGCUCAACCAUAUGGACUGUAAUGCAUACUGGCAAACUAGAGGACGGCAGAGGCAAGUGGAAUUACUGGUGUAGCAGUGAAAUGCGUAGAGAUCAGUAGGAACACCAAUGGCGAAGGCAGCUUGCUGGGCCGACCCUGACGCUAAGGCACGAAAGCGUGGGGAGCGAACAGG
rnacentral:rRNA from 1 species